GACAAUUUAAUUUUUUCUUAUACAGCGCAUACUGGAAAGAUGAAAUCGACAAUCUAUAUGAAAAAUAGUCGCUGAUAAAUAUAAUAAAUCAAACAAAAGAUAUAAAUAUUGUGGUAAGUCAACUUUAGUAAUCAUAAUUAAUUUUACUCCAUUAUUAAUAUAUCUAAUUUACAUUUUUUUAUUAGCAUAUUGAUAUAGAAUUAAAGCUAUUGAGAAGACUUAUUCACGAUGGAUCUCCCCCGCUUUCUAAAGAAUAUGCAAUCAUGGACCUUAGAUUCGAGAAUGAAUCUGUUCAUUGGUAUACAAUUAUAAAAGGAGGAGCUGCCCAUUCUACAAGUAAUUUCAAUGCAUUACAAUAGUACAUAAAAGGAGAAUUACCUGUAUUUGCUCGUCCGUGGAUAACAUACAACUAUUUAUUGAUUCCAUCCACAUAUCCAGGCAACAUUUGGUUUCUUUUCUUGUCAACUUUCAAAAGUGGAAACUUCAUGUAUAUGAUUGCAGCCACAACAUUCAUACACCAGACGCAAUUAAAUUACGUGUAGCACCAUUUUUGACUGUAGUACAAUCAUUAUUGAUAUCUACAGACAUUUUCUUCGGCAAACCAAGUUUAAGAAAACAAAGAAAUAAACAUAUGAAAUUGGAAAUCAUACCGUAUCUACCUUGUCAAAAUAAUGGAUAAGCAUCUCAACAAUUUACUGUAAUAUUUAAUUUUCUAUUUAAUUUUAUUUUACAUUUACAACAUUAACAUAAACUAACUUCAAUUUUUUUUUAUAGGCCAAAUUCUGGAGUUUUCCUUCUCAAAUACAUUGAAUGCUUCGUUUUCAGAUAUCCAUUAGAAACAGUUUCACCAAAGAAGAUACGUUUAUACAGACAAAAGAUUGUCACAGAUAUUUGUCACAAUGAAUAUUUUUUAUGUCCAUGUUUAUCCUAACCAUAACAAAUUAUGAAAAUUCAGUAAGAUUCCUUUAUCAAAAUUCAAUCUAUAAUCUUAUAUUCAUAGCUUCAAAAUUACUUAUUUUAAAUAUUUCUAUACAUUGGAAUAAAUGUAAGUUCUUCG
rnacentral:lncRNA from 1 species